GAUAAGUAUGGUUAAUAGUAGUACAAAACUUUUUGUAUCAUUCACAGGCAUACUAUGCCAGUAGGAGCCAGUUAAUACCUAUAAUGGUUUUUGAAAUUGGUGUUUGUGUGUUGCUGUAACUGUUGAGCAUGUUCAGUUUCUCUUGCCUGCAAGUAUAAAUGGGAAGAGCCAUUAAAAUAGUUAAAAGACUACUGGUUAAGCUUAUCACUGCAGCUGCCCUAUCUGCUCCUCCUUUAUUUUAACUAAGGAGCUGCUCAGAGCUGUUUUCCCUUACCGGUUUGGAAGUGAAUGUAGUGUAAUGUAUUGAAUCAUCUGUAAUCUACAUCAAUCUGAAACUAUAUAGAUCCAUUCAUGUGUGUUUUUCACAGAUUCUACUUUUGAGUAGACCUUUCUGAUUGAUUAUUUCUACUCUUUUCCCCUCUAUGGUAUCAUACAUCAUAUUAUAAUAUUACUGUUAUUUUAUAAAUCACUGUAUUCUCGUAUGACAUGCGACAUGUCAUUAUAGUGAUGUGAGAAAGUAAGUCAUCUUUCAUUUUCUACUACACAGGCAGGGCUUGGUUAGUUUUGUGGCAUAAUCAGAUUUUGGGGAUACAAGUAUUUAAAAUGUAUAAUUUGCCUAAAUGAAGUUUGCUUUAAUGUAGUUUCUAGUAUUUUCAUGUUGACCACAGGUCAGGCUUAAACUGUGUACUUCCAUUAAGAUCAGUAUUCUCUCUUGAUAUUUUUCUAAAUGAGUGUAAUAAUUUCCUUCGUUUUUGGAUUUGCAUGUAGCAAUAUGGAACAAGGUGGCAGCUCCAAUAGGAAGAAAUCUUAUGCAAAAUAGUAUUUUGAGGAAAACUGGUAUUUGAAGGAAGAGAGGGAAAUGAUAAGUUCCUGUUAUUGCAUAAUUUUUAUGUACAUGUAAUUUAAAAGACUUGAGCUCACACUUCAGUUAAAAGAUUUUUCUGUGUGUGUGUGUGUACUUCUCAGUUUAUUAUGUAAUGAAGAUGAAGGAAAGGUGAUUAAUUUAUUAGGAGUUAAUUGGCAAAAUUGGUUAGUAUUUUUUAAAAUUAUGACAUUCUCUUCCCCAUAGAAUAAAUUUUUGUAACUAUCAUUUGUUGAAGAGUUUGAUUUUUCACAGUGAUGAUAGCAGUGUGUUUAAUAUAAAAAUUAGAAUUUAAAACUAGGUUUUAGGCCAGUAUUUCAUGUCUAAUCUGUCAUCAUAACUGACAUCAAUUCCUGUCUCAUUUCAUGCCCUCCCAUAUAGAAAUCAAACUUGGAGCCUCCCUAGGACAUGUAUAAUUUUUGACUUCUAAUAUAAGCCUUGUCAUAGAACCAGCUUAUUUCUAGGUUUGUUUCUAAUGUUAUUCUCUUCUAAUUUCACUAAAUUACUGUGUCUUCGGGUACUUUCCUCUGAGGUAUAAUCUUUCUACCAUGUCCACAAAAAUUCUGCAUCCUUUACCAGUUUUUAUCGAUAGCUGUGAGACAUCACUCUCUUUAUCAUUCAUUUCAGGUAAGCUGUGGAAAAUUGAAAGAUUUAGAAAUGUGACUUGAAAAAAAUAUGGAAACACUUUGGAAUACAAUAGGACUUUUGCAUAGGAGACAUCACAGAACACCUCAGUAUAUAUUGACCUUUCAGAUGGUAGAGUUAAAAAAAAUUCUGUCUUGAAAUGUACCUGACCAAGAUUCCUACUGCAUGCUGUGCCAGGCUUCAACAGUACGUGAACUAUGAACUUCCAGAUGUUCAAGCUGGAUUUAGAAAAGGCAGAGGAACCAGAGAUCAAAUUGCCAGCGUUUCGUUGGAUCAUCAAAAAAGCAAGAGAGUUCCAGAAAAACAUCUACUUCUGCUUUAUUGACUAUGCCAAAGCCUUUUACUGUGUGGAGCACAACAAACGGUGGAAAAUUCUUCAAGAGAUGGGAAUACCAGACCACCUGACCUGCCUCCUGAGAAAUCUGUAUGCAGGUCAAGAAGCAACAGUUAGAACUGGACAUGGAACAACAAACUGGUUCCAAACUGGGAAAGGAGUAUGUCAAGGCUGUAUAUUGUCACCCUGCUUAUUUAACUUAUAUGCAGAGUACAUCAUGAGAAAUGCUGGACUGGAUGAAGCACAAGCGGGAAUCAAGAUUGCUGGGAGAAAUACCAAUAACCUCAUAUAUUCAGGUGAUACCACCCUAAGGGAGAAAGCGAAGAACUAAAGAGCCUCUUGAUGAAAGUGAAACAGGAGAGUGAAAAUGUGAGUUGGACUAUAAAGGAAGCUGAGGGCUGAAGAAUUGAUGCUUUUGAAUUGUGGUGUUGGAGAAGACUCUUGAGAGUCCCUUGGACUGCAAGGAGAUCCAACCAGUCCAUCCUAAAGGAAAUCAGUCCUGAAUAUUCAUUGGAAGGACUGAUGCUGAAGCUGAAACUCUAAUACUCUGGCCACCUGAUGCAAAGAACUGACUCAUUGAGAAAGACCCUGAUGCUGGGAAAGAUUAAAGACGGGAGAAGAAGGGGACGACAGAGGAUGAGAUGGUUGGAUGGCAUCACAGAGUCAAUGAACAUGAGUUUGAGUAAGCUUGGGGAGUUGGUGAUGGACAGGGAAGUCUGUUGUGCUGCAGUCCAUGGGGUCGCAAAGAGUCAGACACGACUGAGCCACUGAAUUGAACUGAACUGAUGUUCAUAUGUGUUAUCAUAUUGACAAGAAGAUAACAUUCUUUUGAGUCUAUAGAUUUGUAUGGGUUGAGUGUCUCAGAGUCCAAAAUAUCCAAAACUGAAUUUGUAUUUUUUCCCCCUGUAUCAGCUUUCAAGUGCAGCCUUCUCCUUCUCAGUGGAUGGUAUACCUGGUAUCCUGUUGCUUAGAGUAAAAAAAAGACUUUGACACAUCCUUGAUGUCCCUAUUUUUCUUUUACUGCAUCUAAUCUGUCAAGAAGUAAAUCUCUUGACUCUGUCUUAAAAAUAUCCAUGGCUGAUCCAUGUCAAUGUAUGGCAAAAACCACUACAAUAUUGUAAAGUAAUUAGCCUCCAACGAAUAAAAA